AGUGGGAUUGCUGGAUCAAAUGGUAAUUCUGUUUAACUUUCUGAGAAAUCACCUAAUUUUUCCUAAGCAAUGAUACCAUUUUACAUUCCCUCCAGCAAU
rnacentral:pre_miRNA from 1 species